AUUGAACGCUGGCGGCAGGCCUAACACAUGCAAGUCGAGCGGAUGAAGGGAGCUUGCUCCUGGAUUCAGCGGCGGACGGGUGAGUAAUGCCUAGGAAUCUGCCUGGUAGUGGGGGAUAACGUCCGGAAACGGGCGCUAAUACCGCAUACGUCCUGAGGGAGAAAGUGGGGGAUCUUCGGACCUCACGCUAUCAGAUGAGCCUAGGUCGGAUUAGCUAGUUGGUGGGGUAAAGGCCUACCAAGGCGACGAUCCGUAACUGGUCUGAGAGGAUGAUCAGUCAAAAUUGAAAUGAGAAAAGGUCCAGAACCCUAAGGGAAGGAACAGUGGGGGAAAAUGGGAAAAUGGGGGAAGCCUGAACCAAGCAAGCCGGGUGGUGGAAAGAAGGCUUCCGAAUGGUAAAGACUUUAAAGUGGGAGGAAGGGCAGUAAGUUAAUACCUUGCUGUUUUGACGUUACCAACAGAAUAAGCACCGGCUAACUUCGUG
rnacentral:rRNA from 1 species